GUCUGUAUGAAGUUGAAUAGAGUCUGUUCUGCCAAUUGAGAAUAAAAAUGUCUUAAAAGGCCGCGGUAUAUUAACUGUGCAAAGGUAGCAUAAUCAGUAGUUUUUUAAUUGAAGGCUUGUAUGAAUGAUUGGACAAGGAUGGAACUGUCUUUUUUUAAAAAAUUGAAUUUUAUUUUUAAGUGAAAAAGCUUAAAUAUACUAGGGGGACGAUAAGACCCUAUAAAUCUUAAUGUUGUUAUUUUUGUAGAGGAAAAUAUUAAAGUAAAAAAUAAUUAUAAAAAUAAACAUUUGGCUGGGGUGGCAGUAAUAUAAAGAGAACUAUUAAAAAUAAAUAACAGAUAUAUUUGAAAUUAAAAGAUCCUGAUUACAGAUUAAGAGUACAAGUUACUUUAGGGAUAACAGCAUAAUUUCUUUGGAGAGUUCUAAUCGAAAAAGAAGUUUGUGACCUCGAUGUUGAAUUAAAAGAUCCUUGAGGUGCAGAAGUUUCAGGGGAGAGUCUGUUCGACUUUUAAAUUUUUACAUGAUUUGA
rnacentral:rRNA from 1 species